AGGUGGGUGAGUGUAAAUGCACUAAGGCGCGCGAGAGAGACCUCUCUAAGGAAAUCGGCACAUUAGCCUCGUAACUUCGGGAAAAGAGGUGCUCACUUCGGUGAGCCACAGUAAAUUGCGUUUAGCGACUGUUUAACAAAAACACAGCACUCUGCUAAGUCGUUAAGACGACGUAUAGGGUGUGACACGUGACCAAUGCGGAAGGAUUAAGGCAUUUUGUUAGCCGCAAGGCGAAGCUCGGUGCCAAAGUCCCCGUGAAUGUCGGCCGUAACUAUAACGGUCCUAAGGUAGCGAAAUUCCUUGUCGGGUAAGUUCCGACCUGCACGAAUCGUGUAACGACUGAACGACUGUCUCGGAGAGGAUCUCGGCGAAACUGUAACUGCGGUGAAGAUGCCGCAUGCCCGCAGUAGGACGGAAAGACCCUAUGCACCUUUACUGUAAGCUGGUAUUGUGUUCUGAUUAAUAAUGCGUAGCGUAGGUGGGAGGCUUUGAAGUGAGUGCUUCGGUGCUCAUGGAGCCGCAAUGUGAAACACCACUCUUUGCUAAUUAGGAUUCUAACCUCGAUUCCUGUCAACCAGGCGAGGGACAGUGCUUGCGGGUCAGUUUGACUGGGGCGGUUUCCUCCCAAAGAGUAACGGAGGAGCGCGAAGCUUGGCUCAGCACGGUUGGCAACCGUGCGUCGAGCGUAUGGGUAUAAGCCAGGUUAACUGUGAGACCUACAAGUCGAGCAGAUGCGAAAGCAGGCCCAAAUGAUCCGAUGGUUUAAUGUGGAAUUGCCAUCGCUCAACGGACAAAAGGUACGCUAGGGAUAACAGGCUGAUCGGUUCCAAGAGUUCACAUCGACGAACCGGUUUGGCACCUCGAUGUCGGCUCAUCGCAUCCUGGGGUUGGAGAAGGUCCCAAGGGUCCGGCUGUUCGCCGGUUAAAGCGGUACGCGAGCUGGGUUCAGAACGUCGUGAGACAGUUCGGUCCUUAUCCACUGUGGGCGCAGGAAUCUUGAGGGGUUCAUUCUCUAGUACGAGAGGACCGAGAAUGACGCACUUCUGGUGUGGCAGUUGUUCCAUCAGGGGCAUCGCUGCGUAGCCAUGUGCGGAAGAGAUAAGCGCUGAAAGCAUCUAAGUGCCAAGCUCAUCCCAAGAUAUGGAUUCCCGGACGCAAGUCCCUAAAGACCCCCGGCAGACUACCGGGUUGAUAGGUCAGGCAUGUAAGCGUCGCGAGAUGUUUAGUGGACUGAUACUAAUUGGUCGUGCGGCUUGAUCGC
rnacentral:rRNA from 1 species